CAGUAUUGCAGUUCAUAUUGUUCGUGUGCGCGCGUCUCUCAGUCGUUGCACCAAGAAAAUAUUCAACCAAGAUUACAUAUGAAGACUACAUUCUAUGACAGGUGCGUUGACCUAUACACAUCGUGUCGUUAUCACAGUUCAUAUUCAUCUGCUGCACAAUAAUUUUUUACAGAUCAGACGUGACCCGCCGAGUAAUUGGUCCACGUGCAGUUCGUUUUUUACAUUCCGUGGAAGCUUGGUUGUAGAACCUCGGACGGCACAUAGCUGGCGUCGAUCCUAGGACAGUCCAGGUAAGAGUGUCCGUCACAUUUCGAGAACAUUUCAUUCCCUGAAGUUCCAACCAAAAUUCUUCCACCCGUCGUGUUGUUUUCUGGACAGGCACUUUGUGUCC